GUGUGGCAGAGCGGUUAGGGUGUCAGACAAGGACCUGGGAGACGCCAGGGUUCAAAUCCCUGUUUAGCCA